rnacentral:rRNA from 1 species
UACGUAGGGGCCUAGCGUUGUCCGGAAUCACUGGGCUUAAAGCGCGUGUAGGCGGGACGGCACGUCGGUCGCUGAAAUCCCCCGGCUUAACCGGGGAACUGGCGUCGAUACGACCGUCCUGGAGGGGCGUAGGGGGACCUGGAACUUCCGGUGGAGCGGUGAAAUGCGUUGAGAUCGGAAGGAACGCCCGUGGCGAAAGCGAGGUCCUGGACGCCUACUGACGCUGAGACGCGAAAGCCAGGGGAGCGAACGGG